rnacentral:rRNA from 1 species
CCUGGGAAACUGGGUCUAAUACCGGAUAGGAGCCAUUUUUAGUGUGAUGGUUGGAAAGUUUUUUCGGUGUAGGAUGAGCUCGCGGCCUAUCAGCUUGUUGGUGGGGUAAUGGCCUACCAAGGCGGCGACGGGUAGCCGGCCUGAGAGGGUGGACGGCCACAUUGGGACUGAGAUACGGCCCAG